UAGUUUGGCAGUGAGCGAUUCUUAUUAGGGGAAGGUGUGUUGUAAAGGAUGAUCCGCCUAUUAAUUUACUUUUAUUAUGUUGGUGUAUAUCUGGUUUAAUAUUAUUGUUUAAUAACUGAAUUUGUGUAUAUUUAUUUAAGCCAAGUCUAUGUGCUGCUUGUAAAAGAUUUCAUGCGUUACAUUUAUAUUUAUAAAUUAUGAGAAUUUAAUUUUUAAUUAGGACUUAAAAGUAAUAUAGAAUGAUUUUGUCUAUGUGAAAAAGGUUUAGCUCAGGUACACACCGCCCGUC
rnacentral:rRNA from 1 species